GCGAUGUGUGUGCCAUGCAGUGGGGCUCUGUAAGAAGCAGCCCGGGCAACUUGGGCAGGGGCAGACCGAGCAGUGCCCACGGGUCUUUGUCCACCAGAGUCUCUGUUCAACCUCAGUGUUGCUCCGGAUGUGGAUAGGAGGAGACACUGUCUGGGCCACAGACCAGGUGCUUCCUUCAUCCUGACCACACCUGCUUCUGCCCAGGAGACGCCACAGGGGCCGUGUUCCCCGCCCGGCUCCUCUUGAGUGGUUCCCAGGCUCCUCCUCCGCCCGGUUCCACCUGGAGCCGUGGGGCUGUGCCGGGGACGCCUCGCUGCAGCCGCAGCUCACGGAGAAGCCACUGCUGGGGCUCCUGCCUCUCCAGUGCAGUGGGGCCGAGCCGAGCUCCACCAGACGGUCUUGUCUGCACCUCCAGAGCCCCCAGGCUUGCUCACUUGGCUCUACUUCUGGGCAGGGUGCCCUGGUAUUGCUGCUGCUGGCACCUGCCGUGCCUUGGAGGGGUCUCCAGUGGGACCUCUGAACACGGCUCUUCCUGUACCUUGAGAGGGCCUGCCCUUCUCUCCGGCCUCCAGCUGCUCUGCCCCAGCCCAGCCUUCAGGCGCCUCAGCUGCCUCCCCCUACCCCGAGCUUGAGUCCGGCUGAGCUGCACGUGGCUUUCCCGGUGGAGCAGACUCUGUCUGAUUUCCCAACGGCCGGCGCCCCCCAGGGCUUGCUCCCCGCCGUGGAACAGCCCCUUGGGGCCAGGUAUGUACUCCAGGCUGUGGCCCGGCAAUGCUGGGAAGUGCCGGUCGUGGCUGCUGCACGUGGGUUGCCGUCUGCGAGAGGCCUGUGGUGUUUGCUGAGGGCGGAGGACACUGAGGACAGAGAAUGGGCGACUAGUCCCAGAUGUGGCCAUGACUGGGGUGCAUCUGGGAAAGCUCGUCCAGGGACACCCCCCACUAUGGCCUGGCGCCUGUCCCGCAGGAAGAGCUUCAGGGCGGUGGGAAGGGGGAGUGGCCCCAGCUGCAGAGGCAAGGAGCGUUGGUGGCCGGGCGGCAAGAGGGACGGGAGGUCAGGCUGACGUCCACUGGCGAGAGCCCUUCAGACGAAGAUAGCAUGGACCCCCUGCCCCAUCCCAACACAGGCCCCAGAUGCCCUGAAACCCCAGGGGCUCAGCCCAAACCAUGAGCAGGAAGCGUUGCUUUACUGAGAAACCAUAAAAAUGUAGAAUUCAACCUCAAACACUGCUGCGGCCGAUACUGAAGGUUAGAAAUGAGCAGGUGGGGCCGGGCGCGGUGGCUCACGCCUGUAAUCCCAGCACUUUGAGAGGCCGA